rnacentral:lncRNA from 1 species
UGAGGCGGCACCGCGGCCCGGCCUCACCGAGCCGACCGGGCCCCUCGGCCGCGGCAGGGGCGGUAGCGCUGCCGUGUCUGACAGCCCAGGUCAUGGACUUAUGUGAAACAUUGUCCAGUUAAGGCAGUCUUGACUCAUUGUUUCCAGCUGCUACUCAACCUGAGUUACUCACAUCUGUGGCUUGCUCUUCUCAGAGCACUACACAGGGCACUGCUGGACUCACAGGACUGCAGUGAUGAGUUUAAGGCAGGAGUCUCUACCAAUAAAUAAAGCAUUUAACCAAAUUGCCAGUGGGCUCUGAAAGGACACCACUGUUGUUACUGGGUGGGGAAAUGACCACAUGUAAAUGAUCUCUAUGUGCAAAACCUCAACCCUUCACAGAUACUUCUAGUUAUUUUUGCUUGGACAUCACAGAGGUUUUGCAUUGAUCAAAGGUUUU